GAUGUUCUCAACAUGUACACCUUGAUCACUGGAAAGGUUCUUGACCUGAGUGUGGAUUUGAGUGCUGCCAGUGCUGCAGAAUGAGGAAGCUGCUUUUACAUAAACUGAUGCUUAGCCUUGUUCUAAGCUCCUUGAAGAGGUGGAAAAGGACUUGGUAUUGGUUUCCUAUAUAUGUUGUAAUAAAUUCAUGUCUAAAUGCACUUUAUUUGAAUAUGUAAGACUUGAAACUUUGAUCUGGCUGUGUUGUGGAAAUUUGCAAUUUCUGCAUUGUUGGUCACUUGUGGAGAGGGUAUAAUUUAUUUGUUCCCA
rnacentral:misc_RNA from 1 species